rnacentral:rRNA from 17 species
UUGCUCUGACCUCGGAUCAGGUA